rnacentral:rRNA from 1 species
UCAUCCGAUUAGAGUUUGAUCCUGGCUCAGGAUGAACGCUGGCGGCGUGCUUAACACAUGCAAGUCGAACGGUAAAGCCAAGCUUGCUUGGUGGAUCAGUGGCGAACGGGUGAGUAACACGUGAGCAACCUGCCCUGAACUCUGGGAUAAGCGCUGGAAACGGCGUCUAAUACUGGAUAUGAGCUGCGGAGGCAUCUUCGUGGUUGGAAAGAUUUUUCGGUUUGGGAUGGGCUCGCGGCCUAUCAGCUUGUUGGUGAGGUAAUGGCUCACCAAGGCGUCGACGGGUAGCCGGCCUGAGAGGGUGACCGGCCACACUGGGACUGAGACACGGCCCAGACUCCUACGGGAGGCAGCAGUGGGGAAUAUUGCACAAUGGGCGGAAGCCUGAUGCAGCAACGCCGCGUGAGGGAUGACGGCCUUCGGGUUGUAAACCUCUUUUAGCAGGGAAGAAGCGGAAGUGACGGUACCUGCAGAAAAAGCGCCGGCUAACUACGUGCCAGCAGCCGCGGUAAUACGUAGGGCGCAAGCGUUAUCCGGAAUUAUUGGGCGUAAAGAGCUCGUAGGCGGUUUGUCGCGUCUGCUGUGAAAUCUGGGGGCUCAACCCCCAGCCUGCAGUGGGUACGGGCAGACUAGAGUGCGGUAGGGGAGAUUGGAAUUCCUGGUGUAGCGGUGGAAUGCGCAGAUAUCAGGAGGAACACCGAUGGCGAAGGCAGAUCUCUGGGCCGUAACUGACGCUGAGGAGCGAAAGGGUGGGGAGCAAACAGGCUUAGAUACCCUGGUAGUCCACCCCGUAAACGUUGGGAACUAGUUGUGGGGUCCAUUCCACGGAUUCCGUGACGCAGCUAACGCAUUAAGUUCCCCGCCUGGGGAGUACGGCCGCAAGGCUAAAACUCAAAGGAAUUGACGGGGACCCGCACAAGCGGCGGAGCAUGCGGAUUAAUUCGAUGCAACGCGAAGAACCUUACCAAGGCUUGACAUACACGAGAACGCUGCAGAAAUGUAGAACUCUUUGGACACUCGUGAACAGGUGGUGCAUGGUUGUCGUCAGCUCGUGUCGUGAGAUGUUGGGUUAAGUCCCGCAACGAGCGCAACCCUCGUUCUAUGUUGCCAGCACAUAAUGGUGGGAACUCAUGGGAUACUGCCGGGGUCAACUCGGAGGAAGGUGGGGAUGACGUCAAAUCAUCAUGCCCCUUAUGUCUUGGGCUUCACGCAUGCUACAAUGGCCGGUACAAAGGGCUGCAAUACCGCGAGGUGGAGCGAAUCCCAAAAAGCCGGUCCCAGUUCGGAUUGAGGUCUGCAACUCGACCUCAUGAAGUCGGAGUCGCUAGUAAUCGCAGAUCAGCAACGCUGCGGUGAAUACGUUCCCGGGUCUUGUACACACCGCCCGUCAAGUCAUGAAAGUCGGUAACACCUGAAGCCGGUGGCCCAACCCUUGUGGAGGGAGCCGUCGAAGGUGGGAUCGGUAAUUAGGACUAAGUCGUAACAAGGUAACCA